UACGUAGGGUGCGAGCGUUGUCCGGAAUUAUUGGGCGUAAAGAGCGUGUAGGCGGCCAAGCAGGUCCGCUGUGAAAACUCGAGGCUCAACCUCGAGACGUCGGUGGAAACCGUUUGGCUAGAGUCCGGAAGAGGAGAGUGGAAUUCCCGGUGUAGCGGUGAAAUGCGCAGAUAUCGGGAGGAACACCAGUGGCGAAGGCGACUUCCUGGCCUGUUCUUGACGCUGAGGCGCGAAAGCUAGGGGAGCAAACGGG
rnacentral:rRNA from 1 species